CUACGGGGGGCACCAGUGAGGAAUAUUGCACAAUGGGGGGAACCCUGAUGCAGCAACGCCGCGUGGAGGAUGACGCAUUUCGGUGUGUAAACUCCUUUUAUAUGUCAAGAAAAUGACGGUAGCAUAUGAAUAAGCACCGGCUAACUCCGUGCCAGCAGCCACGGUAAUACGGAGGGUGCAAGCGUUACUCGGAAUCACUGGGCGUAAAGGACGCGUAGGCGGGUUGGAAAGCCAGGUGUGAAAUCCUACAGCUUAACUGUAGAACUGCACUUGAAACUUCUAAUCUAGAGUAUGGGAGGGGGAGAUGGAAUUAGUGGUGUAGGGGUAAAAUCCGUAGAUAUCACUAGGAAUACCUAAAGCGAAGGCGAUCUCCUGGAACAUUACUGACGCUAAGGCGUGAAAGCGUGGGGAGCAAACAGGAUUAGAUACCCGGGUAGUC
rnacentral:rRNA from 1 species